rnacentral:lncRNA from 1 species
AAAUCAGCUUUGGCUAUGGCUUCUUCGACAGCUUUGUCUCUCUCAUGGAGCUCCUCUCCUUGUUGGUCACACAGCUUCAAUGGCGGUGCAAAUGAAACCCUAAAAGUAUCUGAGCGAAGGUUCAAUUUUGAAGUUGUUUCCCAGAAGAAAGCUAAGAAACUUCGCAAGGUAAAAGUCAUUACCUUUCAUGGGUUUCCUUCAAAAAUUUGAUUUGGCUUUUAGUUAGUUUUUGAUUUGAGCUUGUGUUUCUGAAGAAUUUUGGUGGAGAUGAAAGUAAAAGACUUGAAGAUGCUUAAUUUAUGGGUUUAGUGUAAAAACAUCGUCUUUGUUCUUGUAUCAGCGUAGUUAGGAAGAAAGAUGAAUCAACAUUAGAAAAGU